CACGUAGGGCGCAAGCGUUGUCCGGAAUUAUUGGGCGUAAAGAGCUCGUAGGCGGUCUGUUGCGUCCGCUGUGAAAACUCGGGGCUUAACCCCGAGCCUGCAGUGGAUACGGGCAGACUAGAGGUAGGUAGGGGAGAAUGGAAUUCCCGGUGUAGCGGUGAAAUGCGCAGAUAUCGGGAGGAACACCGGUGGCGAAGGCGGUUCUCUGGGCCGAUACUGACGCUGAUGCACGAAAGCGUGGGGAGCAAACAGG
rnacentral:rRNA from 1 species